UACGUAGGGUGCGAGCGUUGUCCGGAAUUAUUGGGCGUAAAGAGCUCGUAGGCGGUUUGUCACGUCUGCUGUGAAAUCCCGAGGCUCAACCUCGGGCCUGCAGUGGAUACGGGCAGACUGGAGUGCGGUAGGGGAGAAUGGAAUUCCUGGUGUAGCGGUGGAAUGCGCAGAUAUCAGGAAGAACACCGAUGGCGAAGGCAGCUCUCUGGGACGGUACUGACGCUGAGACGCGAAAGCGUGGGGAGCGAACAGG
rnacentral:rRNA from 1 species